rnacentral:rRNA from 1 species
ACAAUGGCGGAGGCGGUGGGACAUUACCGAGUUUUCAACUCCCUAACCCUUAUGUGAACCUACCUAUUGUUGCUUCGGCGGACUCGCCCCAGCCGGACGCGGACUGGACUAGCGGCCGCCGGGGACCCUCAAACUCUUGUAUUAUCAGCAUCUUCUGAAUACGCCGCAAGGCAAAACAAAUAAAUCAAAACUUUCAACAACGGAUCUCUUGGCUCUGGCAUCGAUGAAGAACGCAGCGAAACGCGAUAAGUAAUGUGAAUUGCAGAAUCCAGUGAAUCAUCGAAUCUUUGAACGCACAUUGCGCCCGCCAGCAUUCUGGCGGGCAUGCCUGUUCGAGCGUCAUUUCAACCCUCGACCUCCCUUUGGGGAAGUCGGCGUUGGGGACCGGCAGCACACCGCCGGCCCUGAAAUGGAGUGGCGGCCCGUCCGCGGCGACCUCUGCGUAGUAAUCCAACUCGCACCGGAACCCCGACGUGGCCACGCCGUAAAACACCCAACUUCUGAACGUUGACCUCGAAUCAGGUAGGACUACCCGCUGAACUUAAGCAUAUCAAUAAGCGGAGGAA